rnacentral:lncRNA from 1 species
AUGAGUUUGGUAGAUUUAGAGCCAGAAGAGAAAGGCCAGAGUAAGUGGAGUGAGACUGGCCAGAGGUGGGAUCAGAGAGAUAGCCAGGGGCUAGAUUGCAUAUGGCUUUGGAAGGUUAAGGCAAGGAGGUUGAAUUUUCUCCUAAAUGUGAUGGAAAGCCAUGAGAGGGUUUUGAGUAGCAGAGUGACGAGAUCUGAUUUAUGUCUAAAAGGUCCUUCCUGCUGCUGUGCAGAGAAAGGAUUGCAGGUGCCAGCAUGGAGGCCAGGAGGGGAGAGCAGACCCCCGCUGUUGCAGUGUCCGGCUGAGAGCUGCUGGCGGCAGUGGACACAGAGAAAAGAGCCUGAUUCUAGGUUUAGUUUAGAAUCAGAGCCAGCAGGCUUUGCUGACAACUGGCUGUGGCUGAGGGUCACAGGGAAGAGUAGAGAUGACGCCUGGGCUUUGGGCUGGAGCCACCGAGAGGCUGGUGGUGCCUCGCUGCGGACUGCAUUCUCCAUUCAUCCUCUGUGCUGCAAGCCCAGGGCUCCCUCUGCGGAGGCUGCAGACAGUAUUCAUUCAUGGAUUCCAGCAGGAGGUGAGAAACGCUGCAGGCAGGAAUCCAACCGUCAUUCUUGACACCACCCUUAUCUAAUCCCCUGCCAACUGCUAGUUCAAGCCAGCAUCAGCUCUCUCCUGGACCACUGCCACCGCCUCCUAACAGGAUUCCCACCUCCGCUCUCAUUACCCCCGAUCUGCAGCCAACUUGAGAUGAUCAUGUCACCCCUUCCACACCCAACACAACUCCAAAAUGCAAAGAGGCUUCCUCUGUUCUUGGAUCAAGGGUUUAAACAUGAUCUAGAAGGCCUUGCAUUGUCAGUCUGCAUCCACCUCUCAUUCCUCUCUCUGCACUCCAGCCUUGUCUGCCGUCUCCCAGCACAUUGUAUAUGCUCCCUCCUGCCACUGGGCCUUUGCAAAUACUGUUUCCUCUGCCUGGGCUGUUCUUCCAUCCCUUGGGUUUCAACUCAGACAUUACCUUGUUAGAGAAGGCCCCCAGCUUCCCUCGCCGGUCAAAUCCCCCGUACAUACUCUUAGGGCAUCAUGUUCUUCGUUUUCUUUGCACUGACCACAGCUGUCAUCCUGACUGCAUUUGGGUGGCUAUUUGAUUGAUGUCUGCUCCCCACUAAACUGCAGGCUCCAUGAGGGCAAGAGCCAGCCUAGCCCAGUGCCUGGCACAUAGUAGGUGCUCAAUAAAUAGUUGUUUGAGUGGGGCCUGAAUAAGUGAGCAAAGCCUUAACCAAGCCAGGACCAGGAGCUCAGAGCCUUUGGCUCCCCAGGAAGGGAAGAUGGUUAAGUCCCCGAGGCUAGCUGGGGAAGCCACAGUUUGUGCCCUACUGGAAGAGGAUGCCACCAGCUCUGUGCUUGGGCUAGCAAUUGGUCACUAUUUGAAAACAGAGUUUGCUCCAUAGCAAGCAGCCCCCCAGAGACUGGGUGUGGAGGGUGAGGAGGAGGGUGCCAGUUAGAGCGGUGAAUCCCGCCACAGUUCCACUGCUGCUGUGCUCUUGCAGGGGUCUGGUCUUUGGGUUUUGGGAGUCCAGUCCUUGCUACCUCUUUACAUUUGAGAUGGUCCUCCCCAGGCACACCCCAGAGAAGAGAAGUGGCUGGCUUCAGUCCCUUGCUUACAUGCUUACAGGGUGGAGGGAAGGUGCCUCUGGUGGGAAAGAGAAGGAUGAAGAGGAAGGAAAGGGAAGACAGAAGUGUCCAUGAAAAACUCAGGAGAAAGGCUUAUGAGAGGCAGGAUAUUGGCUAUUUGCGGAGGCACCUCUAGAAAAUGACUCACCCUCCCCUGGUUCUUGAGUGGCCUCAGGGAGGCAUCACCAUCUCCCUUUUUAGCAACCUCCCCUGGUAAGGAAGAGAGAAAGAAAAGGAUAUCUACUGUCCAGGCAGAGCCAGUCAGACUCCUCUGAGCAAUCCUGGAGGGCUUCCAGGAGGAGAUGAGCUUUAUAGAAGCCACAGGCUACCUGGGAGGGAGCUAGUCCAGGCAGAGAAUCAUAGGGAGAGAGGACCACAUCCCAGGGUAAUAGAUGAGAAGCAGGAGACAGCAAGAUAAGGAAAGGCAGUGUGACCAGAGUGGAGGGGGCAUUGCAAGGGAGGCAGGAAUCACCCUGUUACAUUAACAGGUCUGGUUGUGUCACUGUCUGCUCAGAACCCUGCAGAGGCUCUCAUUCCACUCAGAAAAACCACAGACCUUCCUCCCUGCUCUCCUCUCCUAUGCCCCUCACUGCCACUCCCACUGCUGAAGCCGUGCUGGCCUUCUUCCUGGUCCACAGUGCAUCGUGUGCUUCUUAGGCUGUUCCUCUGCCUGGAACCUCCUUCCCUACCCAGCUCCACUCUCACUCUCUCCCCUCCUGCGAAGCUCUGCUCAAGUCUUGCCUUCUGACGCUGUUAUGUAAAACUGCACCCCUUCCCUAGCCCCAUUCUUGGCCCUCCUGACUUCUUUCGCCUUGCUUUUUUCCCCUCCUCAUGGAACUUAUAACUUUCUAACAUCCCCCAUGAUUUAUUGACUCUCUCCCACGAGAAAGCAAGUUCCACAGAGCAAGAAUAAUUGUCUGUCGUUUUGCUGACAUGUCAGCACAAAAGACAGGGGCUGACACACAGUAGGUGUCCAACAAAAAUUGGUUCAAUAACUAAGAAGGGUAGAGGAGGAAGCGGGGCUGGGAGCCUGGGAAUGGAGUGGAAAAUCAUGUUUCCAGGCUCCUUGGUGAGUGUGGGAAUGGAGAUCCAGGGUGGGUGGGCAGCUCCCAAGCAGCCACCCAACAGGCCAGGAACAGAACUGUCUCACCCCCUGUUAUGUCUGUCCCUGCUCUCCCUCCUCCCCACCUUCAGAGUCAUCCCUGGGUGAUGGUGCUGCUGGCAUCUGGUAUCCAUCAGUCCCUUCCAGGAGUCCCUGUGAAACAAAGCGGGGUGGCUAAAGUGAUCCCAGAUUGGGGGCAGGGGGGUAGUCUGCAGGCAAGCUGCCCCUGUUGCUGACCUACCCCUCCCCACACCCCUCUGCCCAACCCUUCCCAGAGCUACCAGCCCGCAGGUUUCACCACCCCCAACACCCAACCACACACAACUCCUGGCUCCGGAUUUGAGGGAUGAGGAGUGGAGCUGGCAGGAGGGAACAAGAGCAUGCAAAUGGGACCUGACAGGGGCCGGGCACCUCGGGCAAAGAAUGUAAAUAAAAAUCAGUAAAUAUUUAGAAGAAAUGGAGCGGGAAGUGGGAGAGGGAGGGUGGAGGGGACGUGUUGGAUUUCCAACAACAUCUGGAGGGCAGUCCUCUCCUCCAUCCUCCCCAUGCCCCAUUCCACCCCAUAUGGGGGCUUGCAGUUGAGAGAGGGUGGUGGCUCUUGAUGGGGAGGUGAAGUGUCUGCGCUGGGCUGUCUGGAUGCUGGGGGUGGGCACAACUUUGACAGUCUAGAGUGUUUGCCUGGCCAAGCACACACAAGGCCUCACCUGACCCCAAACUGAGUGCUUCCCUCUGGGCCAUUCAUGUCUUCCCUUCCACAAGGCCCUGCUGUGAGCCAGGAAGCAGGGAUUCUAGGAUGAAAAGACAAGGUCCCUCUCCUCAAGGAGCUUCUAAGAGAAACAAGAGCCUUAAGAAGGCCCCACAUAAGGAAGGCCUUGACAGAAGUCAGCUUAGGGAGCUAGGGGGAGUGACAUAAAGUAGAGGUCAGGGAGGACUUCCUGGAGAAGGAGGAUUAUGAAAGUACAGACAGACAUGGUUGAGAAAAGGAUGCGUGUGCAGUGGGAGGUGAAGUUCAUUUUCAGGGAGAGGUAAGAGUAUGGAACCUCUGUGGGCAGGGUGAUACAGGAGGAUGGAGCAGGGGGGCAAAGAGAGUUGAAGCUUAGUUACCCCCAGAAGAAAAUCUAAAGUAAGAGCCCCAAUGGGGCAAGAUGAGGGAUGAGGAAAGGGGCUUGAGGAGGUCUCUGCCCCCUACCCCACCAUCCCCACCACCUCAGCCAAAGUAGUUCCACCUUCAUCUGCUUUACUGAUCAGGCUUCUAGGAAAAUUUUAUUUGAAGGGUCUCAAUACUUUUGAAAAAAAAAUUGAAAACUACUGCUCUCUCAGGAAAUAAAAGAAAAGCUUCCUCCUAAAUGGAGGCCAAAGCUGGAAAAAUGGAAGAGCAGAAAGCAGAGGAUCUACCUCUAGCUUCAGAGCAGUGAGCCUUCACAUCCCCGGACUGAGGUUAGACCCUAGGAGGGACUUCUUAACAGGUUUUUCAAGCCUUUCUCUUGCCAUCCAAACUGGGUCAGGCCUGGCUCACUGCGCUGCCUGCCCACCCCAUGCUGAGCCGCCCUGGGCAAGAGUGCAGGGGCUCCAAAGAGGGUCCAAGGACUGGAGUGUCAUCCUCCGCCUCCUGCUUCCAGUGUGGGGAACAAUUGGCCUUUUGUCCAACAGAGGAUGCCCAAAGGGUGAGGUCACUCCCGACAUGGCUUUCUUUGUCCCAGAGCCAAGGAGACACCAAGGCUGAGUCCAGGCAGUCUCCCCUGAUCCUCUGUCCCCAAACCCCUGAGCACUGCCCCCCACCCCUCACUGUCCCCAUGAAGGGCUUUUCCAGGGCCACAGGAAGGAACACUUGAAGGGAAGGAGGCUGGUGCAGCAGGCACGGGUGGAGGUGAAGAAGGCAUGAGAUGAGUACAGAGGAGAAGGAAGGGGAGCUGGCUAAGUCGCCAGUUUAGAGGGUGAUCCUUCUUCACAAGGAGUUCCAGCCACUCAUGUGGCUUGCCCUACAAAAAUGGUUCCAGGCUGGGCACAGUGGCACAUACCUGUAAUCCCAGUACUUUGGGAGGCCGAGGUGGGAAGAUCGCUUGAGUCUGAGGGACCAAGGCUGCAGUGAGCCUCGGUCACUGGCCAGAGAGGCCAAGAGGAUGCUAGGAGCAGGGCCAGCACCACUGCACUCCAGCCUGGGCGACAGAACAAGAUCCUGUCUCAAAAACCAACAACAAAAAAAGGUUCUAAACCCGAAAGGGGGGAAAAAAGCCAAAGGGGUCUGAGCCCCAAGGCCCCCAUUGCUUGCAUCAGCUUUAGACCAAGAGGCCCUUGGGUGAUGCGGAUGAACUGGAAGUUCCCCAGGUAUUGCCAGAGGAAGGGCUUUAAAUGGGAUUCCCCUGUCCCAGGGGCCCCUCCCCCAUGGAGGUGAAGAGCUUCCUGAGACAGGGAGAGUGCAAGGCCCAGAGGACAGCACAGUAGGGGAGGGAGAAGGCAGGGGAAAGGUGUCUGUGGCCUGGAGGAGCCAAAGGACCAGAGUCUGAGCCAGAGCAUCGCUGAGGAGCUGCCAUGGACGGGCCUCCAGGAGGCUCCAUCAUCAGGAUGGGCCGAAGACAGAGACAACAGACACGGGCCAUUGGCAGGGGUGUUCUAAAAAAGGAGAGGUCACUGUGGUGCCAUGAGCACUAGACAGGGAAGCAAGGCUCCGAGUUCUAGUCCUGGCUCUGCCUCCAACUCAUGGAGGAACCCUGGACUGGCUUCCUUUCCCUGGACCUCAGUUUCCU